CGGGUGGGCGUGCAUAACCAUGCAGUCGAACGAUGAAGCCCUUCGGGGUGGAUUAGUGGCGAACGGGUGAGUAACACGUGGGCAAUCUGCCCUUCACUCUGGGACAAGCCCUGGAAACGGGGUCUAAUACCGGAUAAUACCUGCCUGGGCAUCUGGGUGGGUUGAAAGCUCCGGCGGUGAAGGAUGAGCCCGCGGCCUAUCAGCUUGUUGGUGAGGUAGUGGCUCACCAAGGCGACGACGGGUAGCCGGCCUGAGAGGGCGACCGGCCACACUGGGACUGAGACACGGCCCAGACUCCUACGGGAGGCAGCAGUGGGGAAUAUUGCACAAUGGGCGAAAGCCUGAUGCAGCGACGCCGCGUGAGGGAUGACGGCCUUCGGGUUGUAAACCUCUUUCAGCAGGGAAGAAGCGAGAGUGACGGUACCUGCAGAAGAAGCGCCGGCUAACUACGUGCCAGCAGCCGCGGUAAUACGUAGGGCGCAAGCGUUGUCCGGAAUUAUUGGGCGUAAAGAGCUCGUAGGCGGCUUGUCACGUCGGGUGUGAAAGCCCGGGGCUUAACCCCGGGUCUGCAUUCGAUACGGGCUAGCUAGAGUGUGGUAGGGGAGAUCGGAAUUCCUGGUGUAGCGGUGAAAAUGCGCAA
rnacentral:rRNA from 1 species